rnacentral:rRNA from 1 species
AGAGUUUGAUCCUGGCUCAGAUUGAACGCUGGCGGCAGGCCUAACACAUGCAAGUCGAGCGGAUGAGAAGAGCUUGCUCUUCGAUUCAGCGGCGGACGGGUGAGUAAUGCCUAGGAAUCUGCCUGAUAGUGGGGGACAACGUUUCGAAAGGAACGCUAAUACCGCAUACGUCCUACGGGAGAAAGCAGGGGACCUUCGGGCCUUGCGCUAUCAGAUGAGCCUAGGUCGGAUUAACUAGUUGGUGGGGUAAUGGCUCACCAAGGCGACGAUCCGUAACUGGUCUGAGAGAUGAUCAGUCACACUGGAACUGAGACACGGUCCA